rnacentral:rRNA from 1 species
UACGGAGGGCGCAAGCGUUGUUCGGAAUUACUGGGCGUAAAGCGCGUGUAGGCGGUCUGGUAAGUCGGUUGUGAAAUCCCCGGGCUCAACCCGGGAACUGCAUCCGAAACUUCCAGGCUAGAGUUCCGGAGAGGAAGGCAGAAUUCCCAAUGUAGGGGUGAAAUCCGUAGAUAUUGGGAGGAAUACCAGUGGCGAAGGCGGCCUUCUGGACGGUGACUGACGCUGAGACGCGAAAGCGUGGGGAGCAAAC